UACAGAGGUGGCAAGCGUUGUUCGGAAUUACUGGGCGUAAAGGGCGCGUAGGCGGCCUUUCAAGUCAGACGUGAAAUCCCCCGGCUUAACCUGGGAACUGCGUCUGAUACUGGGAGGCUCGAGUGUGGGAGAGGGAUGUAGAAUUCCAGGUGUAGCGGUGAAAUGCGUAGAUAUCUGGAGGAAUACCGGUGGCGAAGGCGGCAUCCUGGACCAUAACUGACGCUGAGGCGCGAAAGCUAGGGGAGCAAACGGG
rnacentral:ncRNA from 2 species